AUUGAACGCUGGCGGCAGGCUUAACACAUGCAAGUCGAGCGAGCGGCGGACGGGUGAGUAAUGUCUGGGAAACUGCCUGACGGAGGGGGAUAACUACUGGAAACGGUAGCUAAUACUGCAUACCAUCAGAUGUGCCCAGAUGGGAUUAGCUAGUAGGUGGGGUAACGGCUCACCAAGGCGACGAUCCCUAGCUGGUCUGAGAGGAUGACCAGCCACACUGGAACUGAGACACGGUCCAGACUCCUACGGGAGGCAGCAGUGGGGAAUAUUGCACAAUGGACGCAAGCCUGAUGCAGCAAUGCCGCGUGUGUGAAGAAGGCCUUCGGGUUGUAAAGCACUUUCAGCGAGGAGGCGGUACCCGCAGAGGAAGCACCGGCUAACUCCGUGCCAGCAGCCGCGGUAAUUC
rnacentral:rRNA from 1 species